CCGACAUCACCGUCACCAGCCAAUCUGAUGAACGCAACCUCGAUGGCAGCAGCCAAUGGAGCUACGCCCAGUCUGACUACACCACUCGUGAAGAGUCCCAGGCCCAAAAGAAGAUGCAAGAAGUCGCCUACGAUUCUUACGGCAAGGCUACCUACGAGGACGUUAUGGGAAACACCAACAAGGGAUCCUCUUACUGGGUUUCCCCUGAAGGUCAGAAAUUCACUUUAACCUGGACCGCUGAUGAUGCUGGAUUCUAGCCCAAAGGAGACGUCAAUAACAUCGCAAAAAUGCAAAUAGGAUGGUGUCAUUGUAGGGACGACGAUUGGGAACACUUGAGGUGCUUCUUGGAACACUCUUCCGCGCCGUUUCUGUUGUCUGUUCACACAAAACGCGUUCGUAGGUUUUGGAUUUGUUGUGGGUAUGAAAAUCAACGCUCUUCAGGACACCAAAGGUUUUUAAAUAAACAAAAACUACCUCAAUGAGAAAAACCGUUGCACCAAGCAAUGUUGUCAUGCUUUGGUUGUCUACAUCAGCAUGCAAGUAAAUGGUUUCACCUGCGACAUAUCUAGAUACAGUGUUACCGUAAUAAGUUCAGAUCGGCAGCAAAACCAACGGAAAACGGACUUGGUUUUUAUUGAUUGUGUUGGUAGCUAUCAAUAAAAUUUAAAAGAUGGUGA
rnacentral:lncRNA from 1 species